CCUACGGGUGGCAGCAGUAGGGAAUCUUACGCAAUCGACGAAAGUCGGACGGAGCAACGCCGCGAGAGCGAAGAAGGCCUUCGGAUCGUAAAGCUGUGUGGUUAGGGCAGGACAAGUACGGGAGGAAAUGACCUUACCUUGACGGUACCUAACGAGGAAGCCACGUCUAACUACGUCCUAGCCGCCGCGGUAACACGCAGGUGGCAAGCGUUGUCCGGAAUCAUUUGCCGUAAAGCGCGCGCAGGCGGUCUUUUAAGUCUGAUGUGAAAUCUUGCGGCUCAACCGAAAGCGGUCAUUGGAAACUGGGAGACUUGAGUGCAGAAGAGGAAAGCGGAAUUCCACGUGUAGCGGUGAAAUGCGUAGAGAUGUGGAGGAACACCAGUGGCGAAGGCGGCUUUCUGGUCUGUAACUGACGCUGAGGCGCGAAAGCGUGGGGAGCAAACAGGAUUAGAUACCCCGGUAGUC
rnacentral:rRNA from 1 species